rnacentral:lncRNA from 1 species
CUAAAAACAGAAGUCUUUAUCUUUCUAGUUUAAAUUUCUAUAUUUUGAAUGACUGAAAACUACUUGUGGCUUUAAAUGUUCUGUUUGUCCAGGCUGUAUUAACUAAGUUCCAAAAAAUCUCAACCUGGAUACCGCAUUACAUGCUAAUCACAUGCUAAUCCAAAGUCUUUAACAUCACUUGCAAGGCAUAACCUAUUUGGGCUUAUCCCACCAACACAUAUGAAUGCAUCUCCCAUCAUCUCAAACACACAUAUCUCUCCUCAGAUCCAGGCACAGUCCUCCCAGGAGAAGCUACACUUGCACCUUUACUCAUGCCACCCUCCUAUCUGGAAUCCUCCUCAUCACUCGAAAUUUCCCCCAUUUGAUGAAGUCUUUUAAUUUAUUCCUUUGGAUUCCUACAAGGCACUUCUCAUCCAUCCAACCCAUCCACCUACUCAACAGGAGCGCAUUGAAGUCCUAGAGUAUGCAAGAUGCUAUGCUGACUCUAUGGGGUUUCCAUAAAUGUAUAACACACAGGGCCUCCCCUAAAGAGUUUAUAAUUUUGUAAUAAAGUAUAGAAACAGCAAGGUCAUCUGCCCACCUCGGCUUCCCAAAGUGCUGGGAUUACAGGUGGGAGCCACUGCACCCGGUCCAUUGCUUCCUUACCUCCAAGACUAUCCUAAAUUCUCUCCAGAGUUGUUCAUCCACCACUCUAAGAAAAUGGCACAUGUCAGAGUCACCAAUGGCUGAGGCUUUUGACCAACCCCACCUUUGACUUUCUUGACCUCUGCUAUGGUUUGGAUGUGGUUUGUCCUCACUAAAACUUAUGUUGAAGUUUAACUGCCAGUUCAGUUGUAUUGGGAGAUGGGGCCUAGUGGGAGGUGUUUGUCUCAUGGGAGCAAAUCCCUCAUGAAUAGAUUAAUGUCGUGGGUAGGUUCUCACUCUCUUAGGAAUGGAUUAGUUCCUGCAAUAGCAGGUUGUUAUAAAGUGAGAUUACUCCUCCUGCAUGGCCUCUUUGUUUGCAUGUGCUUUCUUCUGCUCUGCAUUCUGCCAUGAGUUAUAGAAGCAUAAGCCCCUCACCAGAUACAG